rnacentral:rRNA from 1 species
UACGAAGGGGGCUAGCGUUGUUCGGAAUUACUGGGCGUAAAGCGUGCGCAGGCGGCUUCUCAAGUCAGGGGUGAAAUCCUGGAGCUCAACUCCAGAACUGCCUUUGAUACUGGGAGGCUCGAGUCCGGGAGAGGUGAGUGGAACUGCGAGUGUAGAGGUGAAAUUCGUAGAUAUUCGCAAGAACACCAGUGGCGAAGGCGGCUCACUGGCCCGGUACUGACGCUGAGGUGCGAAAGCGUGGGGAGCAAACAGG